AAAAACAAUUGGAAAAAAAAGAUCAAGAACCACAGACAAUGAUGGGUCUGUUGAAGACGAUAAGUCAAAAAAAAAAAAGAACUAGAAAAAGAUGAAGCAGAGCAAGAUGAAGCAAAGGAAAAUGAAACAGAGGAAGCUGAAGAAGAGAAAAGGGAUAAUGAAGAGACGAAAAGCAGGAAAAGAGUAAGACCACAUUGGCAAAAAGACUACAUUCAGCUCUAAGGGCAAUUAUAUAACUAAAAAGGUUGCAUUUUAAUGUGGUUUCUGUUCAACUGCAUUUGCCAUGUUAACACUUAGGUGUCAUUUUGUACAAAAACCAGUACACAGUUAGAAAACAAUGAUAUUGAAGCUAUUUUUGUAUAUGUGAGUAGUAUCAAAAGUGUUAAAC